rnacentral:rRNA from 1 species
UGGGGAAUUUUGCGCAGUGGGCGAAAGCCUGACGCAGCAACGCCGCGUGGGUGAUGAAGGUCUUCGGAUUGUAAAACCCUGUCGCCAGGGACGAAGGGUGGGGCGUUAAUAGCGCUUUACUUUGACGGUACCUGGAAAGGAAGCCCCGGCUAACUCUGUGCCAGCAGCCGCGGUAAUACGGAGGGGGCUAGCGUUGUUCGGAAUUACUGGGCGUAAAGCGCACGUAGGCGGCUUUGUAAGUUAGAGGUGAAAGCCCGGGGCUCAACUCCGGAAUUGCCUUUAAGACUGCAUCGCUAGAACGUCGGAGAGGUAAGUGGAAUUCCGAGUGUAGAGGUGAAAUUCGUAGAUAUUCGGAAGAACACCGGUGGCGAAGGCGGCUCUCUGGACCGAUACUGACGCUGAGGCGCGAAAGCGUGGGGAGCAAAC